rnacentral:rRNA from 1 species
AGUGAACGCUGGCGGUAGGCCUAACACAUGCAAGUCGAACGGCAGCACAGGAGAGCUUGCUCUCUGGGUGGCGAGUGGCGGACGGGUGAGGAAUACAUCGGAAUCUACUUUUUCGUGGGGGAUAACGUAGGGAAACUUACGCUAAUACCGCAUACGACCUACGGGUGAAAGCAGGGGAUCUUCGGACCUUGCGCGAUUGAAUGAGCCGAUGUCGGAUUAGCUAGUUGGCGGGGUAAAGGCCCACCAAGGCGACGAGCCGUAGCUGGUCUGAGAGGAUGAUCAGCCACCCUGGACCUUCGAUACGGUCCAGACGCCUACGGGAGGCAGCAGUGGGGAAUAUUGGACAAUGGGCGCAAGCCUGAUCCAGCCAUACCGCGUGGGUGAAGAAGGCCUUCGGGUUGUAAAGCCCUUUUGUUGGGAAAGAAAUCCAGCUGGUUAAUACCCGGUUGGGAUGACGGUACCCAAAGAAUAAGCACCGGCUAACUUCGUGCCAGCCGCCGCCGUAA